rnacentral:lncRNA from 1 species
UAAAAAAUGAUGAGUUCAUGUCCUUUGUAGGGACAUGCAUGAAGCUGGUAACCAUCAUUCUCAGCAAACUAUCGCAAGAAUAAAAAAACAAACACCGCAUAUUCUCACUCAUAGGUGGGAAUUGAACAAUGAGAACACAUGGACACAGGAAGGGGAACAUCACACACCUGGGCCUAUUUUGGUGUGGGGGGAGGGGGGAAGGAUAGCAUUAGGAGAUAUACCUAAGGUUAAAUGAGGAGUUAAUGGGUGCAGCGCACCAACAUGGCACAUGUAUACAUAUGUAACUAACCUGCACAUUGUGCACAUGUACCCUAGAACUUAAAGUAUAAUAAUAAUAAAUAAAUAUAUAUAUAUACACUCAGAUCUUUCUAGGCAGUGGGCAAGGUGAACCCAUUGGGUGGUUACAAUCAAGCAUAAAAAGAAUUAAUUACAUGGAACUAAAUGAACUCAUAAGGAAUAUUAUAAUUUUUAAAUUACUUUUUUGAUUGAGAUAUUGCUGGUUCUUUAAUAUUUUGUUUUUCAAAUUAAAGAAAACUUCUUCUCUUUUUCUCUCAAGCUGUCUAUACCUUACAACAAUCUGGGAAACUAUAAAGAAAAAUAAAAUAUUUAUUUGUUUUCUCUGCCUGAUCUCUCUAGAUUUGGAAACUAUUGUUGAUUAUUCUUAUUUUCAAGGCAAUAUAAAUAUAUGAAUAAGUUCAAUAAGAAUAUGUACUUUUUAUAACAGAAAAUAACUAGAAACAUUGGUUAUAUUGCUAAGCCUUUGACUGGAAGGUCAUAUUUGAAAAUAAUAUGUAUAGAAUCAGAUAUGACUAGAAAGUUUUAAGGAACUAAAUUUGAUUUCAUGGGGCCAAUGAUUACAAAGACCCUUCGAAACUGGCCUUGGACCUGGCUUACAGAAUUCUCAGCCUUACAUGUGAAUAAGGAAGGUCACUUCCCGGCAGGCUCAGGAACCUCCAAAUACAUUGAGUAUCUUGGGAAGAGUGGAUUUCACCCAAAUCUAUAGGUGCCACAGGCAAAGACUGAUGGCAAGUCCAUUGGCUUGGUAUCCUAGCCUCCAGGCGCUUUUAAAAGUCUAAUCUGAGAUUCCUUAUCAUAAGUUCCAGGGAAGCAAAUUCAAAAAAGGACCUAUGUGGUCAAGUACAUUCUUGCUGCACUAAUGUAAAUAAUGAGGAAAAGUUUAAUGGGGUUGGACUUAUUUUGCUAUCAAAUUAGUCUUACUUUGAUAGAAUUGGAAGUAACUAUAGAGAAUAAAAUUAUUCCAAUAUUAUUUCAAACAUAGAAUCUAAUCCUGUUCUCUGUCUUUGAAACUUUGUUAUGUCUCUGUAAAGUAGACUAGAUCAUGCUCAAUUCUAGCAUCCUCCAAUACCUGAUUAUAACUCUUCAAAUUAAUGUUUCCAGUUUUUCUCUCACCCUCUUAAGUUGUUACCACUGAGGGUUAAAACCUUACUGCUCAGGUUCUUGUUAGGAAUAUCUAAAGAAGCCCUGGACAUUGAGACUGGAAACUUCCAUACUAUGCUCUGAGAAGUAACCGUAACUCUUUCAUCACCAGAGGCAUUCAGACUACAAGCCAGGAAAUUUAUUGAAUGGCUACUUCCAUUCUCAUGCCAUCAUCUAAAGACACUUUGAGCCAAAUGUCCUGAAAUCCUGAGUGACUGCCUUCUGGAAUCAAAAACAGAAUUUACAGUUUGUUCUAACCAGUUAUCUUUUUCAUCUUUGUUUUUUUUUUUUUUUUUCACAGAAAUGUGCCUUACUAAAUGCUUGAUUGUUCAUACCAUCUAGAGGAGUUCGGGGAGGGGAGCUCCCUAUUUCUACCUUUAUGGUGUCUCCCGAAAUGAGAUACAAUUAUUUAACUGAACUAUCCUCUUCCUAGGACUGACAGACUAUUUCAAUGGGAUAUGGGACAAUCUACCAACUCAGUUUUUGGACUGUAAAACUUCCUGGGGGAAGUUUCAGUUGGGGUAAUAAUAGGUUCAGUACACAAUACCCCCAAAUAUGGCACCUUGGCAUGCUGAAUACAUAUAUAUUUUUGAUACAGGAUCUUGCUCAGUCACCCAGGCUGGAGUGCAGUACAGCAAUCUUGGCUCACUGCAAUCUCCACCUCCCAGGCUCACGUGAUCCUCCCACCUCAGUCUCCUGAGUAGCUAGGACUACAGGUGAAUGCCAGCAUGCUCUGGUAAUUUUUGCAUUUUUUUGUAGAAACGAGGUCUCACCAUGUUGUCCAGGCUGGACUUGAACUCCUGGGCUCAAGCAAUCCACCUACCUCAGCCUCCCAAAGUGCUGGCAUUACAGGUUGUGAGCCUCUGUGCCCAGCCAGCAUACUGAAUAUUAUAACCUCAAGAGAAACCACUAGUGCAGGAAAAUACCUCUGACAGUCCCCUGAAGCAGAACAUAAGACCAUCAUGUAAGAAGUACUCUCCAAAUACCCAGAGGAAAGGAGCAUUCUUAUCUCUGAGGAUGAAGGAACACAGAGAAAUCUGAAUGAACAGAACUUGCCAACAUUUCUCCAGUCUACUGCUUUUAACUCAUACCCCUUUGUCCUAUCACAUUUUUCCAUGGUUUUCCAUAAUAAUAUGCUUAUUAGGCAAUAUAAUAAUAGGCAAUAUAAUAGGCUUUCCAGGCUAGUAAUAGGCAAUAUAAUAGGCUUUCCAAGCCUAUUGUAAAAGCACUGAAGUUUAAUCACUUUGGGGGUCUUUAUUUCCUUAGGAAGCCUAUGUUAUACAAAACUUAUAUUAAAUAAAAGCAAAAAUUUCUAUUCUUUAUUCUUGUUAAUCUGUUUUUGGUUACAGAGCCCAAGCUGAGAAUCUAUAAGAGCAGGAACAAAAUACUUUUCUUCCCGAGAAGGUGGUUUGGGAGAGAGAAGAGUUAAAGGUGAAAGUCAGUCAAAACCAGGCACUAAUCAUAGCUAAAGGUAAGUGAUGCAACUAUCUGACCCCCUCCCACCAGCUGUAUCAGGAUAGAACAUAUGGUUUUAGAGUUAUGAUGCUCAUGUGAGAAUCACUCAAAUAACCUGCAAAGCAGCUGAGUAUUAUUUGAACAUUUUAAAUGUACAUCUUACAAAAAAUAGCCAGUUAAAGGUAAUAAUAAAGGUAUACUUUUAUAUUGUAUUUUAUAAGAUAGGAAAUAGGCUCAGGUGAAAGUAUAUUUGAAGAAAAUUCUAGAUUUGAUAGUUCUGUAUCUGGUGCUCUGCCCAGAAAAAACAGAGGAAGUGCUUUCACAUGUACUUUGUACUCAAGUGCUAAUGCUUAAAAUCAUUUUGGUACCUGUGUCCAAAGCUGAAUCACUGGUUCUUUAGACAAAAUGUAUUUUCAAGAGAACACAACUAUUAUGCAUUUCUAAAAAUAAUAUAUUUUCCAUUUUCUUCAAGUUGAAGAAAUCCCUACAAUUUGUCAACUAAACAAUUUAUGUUCUUAAUAUAGAAUUCUUUAAACAGUUGCCCACUUUCUUCCAUACUGUAAAAUUACUGACUUUAAUUUCUUCUGGAAGAAAACACAUUACGUAUUAAUGUACUUCUGUUUAUCACACGCUAAACUGCCCCUUAGAUUACCAAAGCUCACAACAAUGUGGGUGAAGCAAGGGAGAAGCUGGUGGUACAGGGUGGGGGGAGUGACUUACUAAAACUUAGAUUAUAGAUCCAUGUGCUGACAGUGAAGAUGACUACCUGAGGAGCAUACACGUAAUCUUAAUAAAUCACAUUUAGAAAUUAUACUCCUAUUCACCUAGUAUCUUGAAAAAGCAGAUUUAAAAAACAUAGUCCAUUUAUCCAUUUAAUCAUUCAACAGUCUUUACAAAGCACCAAGUAUUUAUCAGACAUUUUAUGAAUUUGUAGAUGGGCUGGGUUCAGUGGCUCCCACCUGAAAUCCCAGCACUUUGGGAGGUCAAGCUACUCAGGGGGCUGAGGCUCGAGAAUCGUUUGAACCCAGGAAAUGGAGGUUGUAGUUAGCCGAGACUGUGUGGCACUGCACUCCAGCCUGGGCAACACAGUGAGACUCUGUCUCCAAUCAAAAAAAAAAAAGUAAUUUGUAGAAGAAACUGACUAAAACAAUAUCAAUAAGAUUAUUACAAUAUGAAUCAAAGUCUACUUAGUUCCAAAAAAAACUUUUUAUAAAAAAUUAGAGAUGCUUUGCAUUUGUAUUUUCCUUAAUAUGUGAAAUAUAACUAUAUUAUUUAAAAUUUUAAGAAAUUAUUUGCAAAUAUAUUUGCUAUAUGAAUGCUAAAUAGCAGUAUCAAAAUAAGUUCUGAUUUAUGUUUCCACCAAUUUCAUGCUGAGAAAUGACAAAAAUGCUGGCAAUUUUACAUUUAAUAUCAUGCAGAAUAGGUGACAACAGGAUAGUGUUCCAAAAGUAAUGUUUUUAGAGAAACAUAGUAAAUGAAUUUUAAACUUCUUCUAAACUUUGCCAAGAAAAACUGGCCAAUUAACGAUUUUUUUCAAGGAGAAACUUCACUUAGAGUCUCUGAAAGCAUUUUAAAUACAAGUUUAAAAAGUCAAUUGAAAUUAAUUUCUUAACAUAGCUAUUGUUGAAAACAGUGUUUCACAGAUUGUACCAUUUCUCAAGACAUUUCUUCUGAAAAAUAAUGCAAACAUACAUGUCAUACAAUUGGGUAGCUCAACAAAAGGUAGGGAUUUUAAAAAAUGUGACAAUUAAAAGUCAGGGGAUGAGUGUUAGGAAAAGUAAGGAACUGGAAUUAAUAACUCCUGAAACCACUUUUAGAAUACUUUGAGGAGUUAAGCUUUUUUUUCAUGUCUUUCCUCCAAGGUUACCAUUUCAGACUUUAAAAAUGACACUUGUAGAAUGUAAACUAGUACAGCCACUAUGGAAAACAGUGUAGAGAUUCCUUAAAGAACUAAAAGUAGAACUACCAUCUGACCCUGCAAUCCCACUACUGGAUAGCUACCCAGAGGAAAAGAGGUCAUUACACACAAAAGGUACUUGCACACGUAUGUUUACAGCAGCACAAUUCGCAGUUGCAAAAGUAUGGAACUAGCUCAAAUGCCCAUCAAUCAACGAGUGGAUAAAAAAACUGUGAUAUAAAUAUAUAGAAUGGAAUACCACCCAGGCAUAAAAAGGAAUGAAUUAAUGGCAUUCACACCAACAUGGAUGGACUUGGAGACUAUUAUUCUAAGUGAAGUAACUCAGGAAUGGAAAACAUCGUAUGUUCUCACAAGUGGGAGCUAAGCUAUGAGGAUGCAAAAGGCAUAAGAAUGAUACAGUGGACUUUGGGGACUUGGAGGAAAGGGUGGGAGGGGAUGAGGGAUAAAAGACUACAAAUUUGGUUCAGGUAUAAUGCUCGAGUGAUGGGUGCACCAAAAUCUCACAAAUCACCACUAAAAAACUUACUCAUGUAACCAAAUACCACCUGGUCCUCAAAAACUUAUGGAAGUAAUUUAAAAAAAAAGAAAAAAUGGAAUGAUAAAAAGACUAAAAAAAAAGACCCUUAUAAAAACAAAUCAUUUGAUUUCAUGGUUGAAGAGUAGAUACAAUUUUUAGAGUACAAAUACAUCGUGAUUAACUUGUAAUACGAACUACAAGUGAUGUUUGUAUCUAGAGGGUGCCUGGUGCUAACAUCUGGACAAUUUUGGAAUAAGUUAUAUGAGCUGCAGUGCUUUAAAAGGGCCUUCAUUUAGAAAAUGUGGAUAAAAAUGGUCCUUGUAGGGUUACUGCAAAUCUAUUAGGUUGUUACUGUAUUGUGCCUAUUACAUAUAUUUUCUCAUUAAAAUAUAACAAUAAUCUUCUGAGGUUGGAGUUAUUUUUUCCAUUUUAUAGUCUGAGGAAAUCGAGACUGAAGACUGAACAACCUGCCCAUAGUCAAACAAGAGAUAGAGAGAAUUCAAACCCACGUCCUUCUGACUCCCAAGCUCAUGUUCAGAAGCCUAUGCUACCUAUGUGUAACCAUCACCAAGUGUCACCAGAGGAUCUUUAUAUACCCAAGAGAAGUAUAUUUGCCUUUUAUUUUUCAACACCAGAUCUUUUUACAGGAGACAUAAAACAUAGAUACCCCUUUAUAUAAAAAUCUUCAAAAGAAUGAUUUUUCAUUGAUUGGAAUACAGUUAAAAUCAUGGCAAAAAGACUCAGCCUGCUACCAACAGAUGGUAACGACAAAUACACUUUGGGUCUACAGAUUUAGGAUUAGUUUUUGACUCUAACAUAUUUGUAAUAAGUUGAGGGUUUCUGUACAUAGACACAUAGGACCCAAAAUAAAAUGGUAAUAAGAAUUCACUAAAGGCAAUUUCUUUGGGGAAAAAAAAAAAAGUCAAUGUAAUUUACUAAAGAAAAAUACCCAGCUGAAACUGUUUGUGUGAAAUAAGAUAAACAGCCUCUAUUAACGUUAAUUGAAAUUUUCCUAUCAGCACAUAUCAUGCAUGCAAUUUAUUUCUAUACAUAUUCUUUCCACCUCUAAACUGCAAUAAGUCCAUGCUAAAGCACUAGCUUUUCAAUUUGAGCAUUCAUGCAUGAAAAUUGAUAGUUUUUUGUGAUUAUACUGACAAAUUUAACAGGUGAAAUUUCACUAUUUGUAAAACAGACAAAGUCUUAAUUGUCGUUGUUCAAAAGGAAUGAAAUUCAAUCUCCUGACUUAAGUUACGAAUUCAUUUUAAAAGCUGAAGUCUAUCACUUCUUAAUGUUUGCUACUUCAAUAGCAUCCUUUUAUUUAUUUAUUUAUUUUCUGAGAUGGAGUCUCGCUCUGUCACUCAGGCUGGCGUGCAGUGGCACAACCUCAGCUCGCUGCAACCUCCGCCUCCCAGGUUCAAGGGAUUCUCCUGCCUCAACCUCCCUAGUAGCUAGGAUUACAGGCACCCACCACCACACCAGACUAAUUUUUUUGUAUUUUUAGUGGAGAUGGAGUUUCACCAUGUUGGCCAGGCUAGGUUUUUGAACUCCUGACCUCAAGUGAUAUGCCCGCCUUGCCCUCCCAAAGUGCUGGGAUUACAGGCAAGAGCCACCACGCCCAGCCUUCAAUAGCAUCCUUUUAACAAAUAUCGGCACUAGUACGUGAGGGUGAGAUGGACCAUGUUUUAACUCCCAUAAACAGACAAGCAAAUACAUUUUUAAAAAUUAAAUGAAGGUAUAAUUUUCCUUAUGUUCACAAUUACAAUGAUUCAUUCUCUUACCCCCCCAUAUGUAUGUACAUACAUACAUAUGGAGGGGGAUAUGUACAUACAUAUGGAGGGGGAUACAUGACUAUAUGAAUAUAUAAACAUAUAACAAUAACCAUAUGAAUAUGUAUACUAAUACACAUAUGACUAUACAUUUAUACAUAUAUGUAUAGUACAAAAAGCAUAUAGUCAUAUAUGUGUAUGAGUAUAUUCAUAUGUUUAUUAUAUGCUAAAAUUGUAUGUAUGCUAAAAAUAUUUUUGGCAAGUUUUUAAACACAUGGGAUUAUGGUACCAUCUUAUUCGUUAAAGACAACUUAAUAAAACUGAGUUAAGAACUUGGUACCAUCUUAUUCGUUAAAGACAACUUAAUAAAACUGAGUUAAGAACUUGCUUUAGUUUAUCAAAUCAGAACUUGAAAUUGUAAUUAAUUUUAACCUAUCUAUUAUUCUAAAUAAAAAUAAGGUAUGCUCUUUUAAAUAAAUGAAAUUUGAAUUAUGUUAUUGCCUCUUAUUCACUGAUUACCUAAAAAAAUAAGUUAUUAUUUAUUAUUCCUUUGAGAUAUUAGAAAUCAUUUCUUGUUCCAGUUAAGAGUCAAAAAAGGCUAAGAACCAUCCAUAACAAAGUUUUCACUAACCAAACAUAAAUUUUAGUUUAAGAAUAUCACAGCUAUGAAAGGAGUGUCUUCUCAGAAUAUUCUAGAUAAUGGAUUAUUGAUCAGGUUUUAAACUGUAGAAUGCAGUGGGUUAAAAAAACAAACAAAAAACCUUACCUGUACAGCGGUGAGUCAGACAAUAGAGUUGGUCUAGGAGAUUUUGUUGAGGACUUAGGAGAAAUUGCUUUUGUUGCUAUUGCAUAUUUAGUCUUUUCUUUCCGUAAAAGCCAAUUCAACGUAAUAUCAGCAUUGCUGAUUGUGGAAACAAGUGCUGUCACUCUGACUGAAGCCUCUCCAUGAUUAGAGAAAAUACUACCUAAUUUGUCAUCCUAUCUGAAUAAGAAGUGAAAAGCCAUUCAUUCAUUCAUUCAUUCCACAAGAGUGAUUGAGCCUUAUUAUAUAUAUGCGAUGUAUUACACUAGAGUCAGAGAAGACAAAUAAUGUUAAGAGAAAAAUACAACAAAAGAAAGAGUAAGACAAGGCCAUUGGCCAUAAAAAACUUAGAAUCUACUUCAGUAAAAAGAUAUGCAUAUACUAGACUAAGUUAGAAGAAUGUCAUGCUAAUAAAAGAGUAAUUUGAAACAUAAUGCAGAAAAUAAGAAAUAUUAACAGGAUUGCACUUUAUUUUAGCAAAGGUUUUGUGCACUUCACUAUAUAAAGAACUAACCUGCUGAAAAUGUUAAAUGCCCUUCAAAGAAGGAGGGCUAAAAAUUGGAGUUGAGCAAAACAAAGGAGAGUCAAUUUCUUGUAGUUAUACAUUUUUACAGCUGAACGGCAAAAAUAAUUUAAUUUUCGAAUUGCUAUAUUACCAUCAAAAUUCAGACACCUCUAUCUUAGUUUUCCAUUAUACUUUAUCUUGGAGAAGACUGUUAUGGCUAGUUGAUAUGGUUUGACUCUGGGUCCCUACCCAAAUCUCAUCUUGAAUUGUAAUCACCAUAUCCCCACAUGUGGAGGGCAGGACCUGGUGGGAGGUGAUUGGAUCAUGGGGGCAGUCUCCCCUGUGCUGUUCUUGUGAUAGUGAGUAAGUUCUCAUGAAAUCUGAUGGCUUUAUAAGGGACUCUUCCCCUUUCACUUGUUCAUUCUCUUUUGCCUGCUGCCUUGUAAGACAUGCCUUUGCUUCUCUCUCACCUUCUGCUAUGAUUGUAAGUUUCCUGAGGCUUCCUUAGCCAUGUGGAACUGUGAGUCAAUUAAACCUCUUUCUUUUAUAAAUUACCCAGUCUUGUUUAUAUCUUUACAGCAGUGUGAGAAUGGACUAACAUAACACACUAGCUAAAAAUUUUAACCUUUAAGAGAAUGGUGUUCAGUUGAGUACAUAAAAAUGAAAAAAAAAUUAAAGGUAUUUAUGAUUGUCUUUAAACAACAUUAAAAGGAAAUGGUAUGUUUUCAAUGGAAAAGGGGCACUUUUAAAGAAUUACAAUUAAAACUCUAUAAAAAAUUGCAAUGUCUUAUACAAAUUGAGGUAUAUUUUUACUGUACUUAUCAGUUAUGAACAUUUUUCUCAACAUACAAAUUAAGUUAAUUCAGAACAGACAGACUCAAACUGACAACCUUCCCAAAAUGGGAGGUCAGAUAUGAUGCACUCUGUGAGAUGACUACAUUGGUGCGGGCUCCUGAAACAUAAUAUCAAGUUAACCCUUUGACAAGUUCCAAGUAGACAGCACUUCUGUGGGCAUUUCACAAUUAAUUAGACAGGCUGUUUAGACGGGCUGUUCUAUUUUAGCAAUGGUUUUGUGCAGUUCACUACACAAAGAACUAACCUGUUGAAAAUAACAAACACCCUUCAAAGAAGAAGAGCUGAAGACUGGAGUUGAGCAGAACAAAGGAGAGUCUACUUCUUGUAGUUACACAUUUUUAUAGCUGAAAGUGAUCAGCAGCAACCUUCUUUAGAUGCAAAGACAAAGAACAAUUUUCAGGUACACAGGCCAGAAUACCACAAAUAAAGUUUAAUAAAAACAUAAAAUGAACUUGCUGAGAACAAACAGUAAAUAUUUCCCCAAAGAGUACCACAAAAGGUUGAACUUACCUGAUCUACUAUCCAGAGGUCCAAAAUCCAAAGAAUAUUUCACGACGUGAUAGUUAUUCCAUACAUAAAGUAGGUUGUCCCUGGGGUUGUAAUC